CAGCAGCCGCGGUAAUACGUAGGGUGCAAGCGUUAAUCGGAAUUACUGGGCGUAAAGCGUGCGCAGGCGGUUAUAUAAGACAGAUGUGAAAUCCCCGGGCUCAACCUGGGAACUGCAUUUGUGACUGUAUAGCUAGAGUACGGCAGAGGGGGAUGGAAUUCCGCGUGUAGCAGUGAAAUGCGUAGAUAUGCGGAGGAACACCGAUGGCGAAGGCAAUCCCCUGGGCCUGUACUGACGCUCAUGCACGAAAGCGUGGGGAGCAAACUGGAUUAGAUACCCCCGUAGUCCCUGUCUCUUAUAC
rnacentral:rRNA from 1 species